GCAGCAGCCGCGGGAAUACGUAGGGUGCAAGCGUUAAUCGGAAUUACUGGGCGUAAAGCGUGCGCAGGCGGUUUUGUAAGACAGAGGUGAAAUCCCCGGGCUCAACCUGGGAACUGCCUUUGUGACUGCAAGGCUAGAGUACGGCAGAGGGGGAUGGAAUUCCGCGUGUAGCAGUGAAAUGCGUAGAUAUGCGGAGGAACACCGAUGGCGAAGGCAAUCCCCUGGGCCUGUACUGACGCUCAUGCACGAAAGCGUGGGGAGCAAACAGGAUUAGAUACCCCAGUAGUCCCUGUCUCUUAUAC
rnacentral:rRNA from 1 species